rnacentral:ncRNA from 1 species
CCGGGAGAGACCGCCGCGGGCGGCACCGAAGGGGCAACACUCUCAGGUAAAAGGACCGGC